UAUUCAGAGAUAUUUUAAAGUAAAUAGUUUACUUUCACAUCUGAUUUCUUGUAAUGAUAUAUGGGUUACUAAACAGUGGUCUGUAAUUGUAAAAUAGGAAGGCUGCUGUCUUCAUACGUGAGCUGACUAUGGCAGGAAGAACUAUAUCCAUCGUUUGCAUCGUAUUUAACUAUAUCUGCUUCAGACUAUUACCAGACUGCGGCAUGUAAGCCCAUAAGCCAGUGUAACAUUAUUUUAUGAAAAACUAAAAAGAGAAAGUCUAGAAAAAUAUUUAAACAAAGGCUAAUAAAUAUGAUUAAUACAACUAACUUAGUCUCUGCAAAGCCAGAAUACGAAACAAUAUCAUAUAAAAACUUUAAAACUCAUUAUGGAGAGCAUCAGCAAAAGUUCUAAGAACCAGCGCCCUAUUAUUGGUUUACUCAACCGCAGAAUACUGCGACCAGUGUGGUAUGCAUAUAACCUCCUAUUUUAAGAAAUACGACAUCGAAGAUAAUCCAAAAAUGUAAAAAUAUAGGGUGUCCCAUUAAAAAAAACGAAGUUAUUAGCAACUUCCAAUAUAUCCGGAAGUCGGAAGUAGCAGAUAGAUGAAAAUAUUUUCAACGAACAGUUCACUCUUCAGAACCUCUAAUUCCAAUUUUCAUGAUUCACUUAUCUUUAGUGCUCGAGAUAUUUCUAAUUGGCCGUUUAUUUGCAUCACCCUGUAUACUAUGCAAUUGGUAGGGGAGAAUGGGGGAAUGGGAGCUAUCGGGUAAUGAGAGCCACCCAGUUUUAUUUAAAUCACGCGCUUUUAAAUACUUGCUGACACUGGCGACACGUUACCGACAAUGCAGAGAACCAGCGACAUCGUUGCAGAUGUUUAUUCAGUAUUCAAUGUUGUUUGAUUCUUCUGUGAGCAUAGUAAACAUUUUGCAGUAAUCGUUAUAAUACACGUGGUUUACAAAAUUCACGAUGCCGAGAAAUCGAAAAAGGCAGACUGUAAAGGGUUCUUGGAGUUUAGAAGAUUUACAAAGAUAUUCUUAACAAAUCUUCACCGUUACCAGAAACACAUAUGCCUGCAAAGAAAAUGGCGAGAGCGAAACAACAUUCUGAAAUUCUUACAGUAACACCAAUGAAAAGAGUAUUGGAAGAAAAAUAAGAAAAUAAGCAGGAUAAAAAAGAAAAACGAGAAAAGACUGAAAAAAACAAAAAUAAAACACAAACGAAAAAAAACAAAAGUAAAAACACAAACGAAAAAACAAAAGUAAAAACACAAACAAGAAAGUCAAAAAAACCCAAAAAUAAAACCGAUAAACGAUCAAACGUAAAACGUCAAGUUUUUGAAGACUCAUCGGAUGAAGAAAAUGUCAGUGAUAAAGACCUUUGUGAUGAUAACUCGGAUAAUUAAGAUGAAACAGAUUUAUGUUUUAUCUUCUAUGAUUCUGGGAAAAGUGGCAGAACUAUGGUAUCGCUGUACAUAUUGUGGUCGAUGGGUACAUGCAGAUUGUUCGGGGGUUGACACAGCUAAAGAUUAUCUCUGUGACUUUUGUUUAAACAAAAUGAGUUGAAAACAAUUUAUUACUAUCUUUGGUAUGAAACUUAAAACUUUAAUACAGAUAAAACUUAAAAUAAA
rnacentral:lncRNA from 1 species